rnacentral:rRNA from 1 species
GUGAGGAAUUUUCCGCAAUGGGCGAAAGCCUGACGGAGCAAUACCGCGUGAAGGAUGAAGGCCUAUGGGUUGUAAACUUCUUUUCUCAGAGAAGAAUAUUGACGGUAUCUGAGGAAUAAGCAUCGGCUAACUCUGUGCCAGCAGCCGCGGUAAGACAGAGGAUGCAAGCGUUAUCCGGAAUGAUUGGGCGUAAAGCGUCUGUAGGUGGCUUCAAAAGUCUCCUGUCAAAGAUCAGGGCUUAACCCUGGGCCGGCAGGAGAAACUCUGAGGCUAGAGUUUGGUAGGGGCAGAGGGAAUUCCCGGUGGAGCGGUGAAAUGCGUAGAGAUCGGGAGGAACACCAAAGGCGAAAGCACUCUGCUGGGCCACAACUGACACUGAGAGACGAAAGCGAAGGGAGCAAAAGGGAUUAGAAACCCUAGUAGUCC